AUUGAACGCUGGCGGCAGGCCUAACACAUGCAAGUCGAGCGGAUGAAGGGAGCUUGCUCCUGGAUUCAGCGGCGGACGGGUGAGUAAUGCCUAGGAAUCUGCCUGGUAGUGGGGGAUAACGUCCGGAAACGGGCGCUAAUACCGCAUACGUCCUGAGGGAGAAAGUGGGGGAUCUUCGGACCUCACGCUAUCAGAUGAGCCUAGGUCGGAUUAGCUAGUUGGUGGGGUAAAGGCCUACCAAGGCGACGAUCCGUAACUGGUCUGAGAGGAUGAUCAGUCACACGGGAGGGUGAACGGGGCCAAGCCGCCUGAGGGAGGGAGCAGGGGGAAAUAGGGGACAGAGGGGGAAAGCUUGACCCAGCGAGCCGGGGUGGGGGAAGAAGGUCUUGGGUUUGUAAAGCAGUUUAAUUGGGGGGAAAGGGCAGUAGGUUAAUACGUUGUUGUUUUGACGGUACAAAAAAAAGAAGCACCGGCUAACUUCGUG
rnacentral:rRNA from 1 species